CGAUCCUGGAACCAAUACAAAAAACGUUCCAGAGAAUUCAAAAAACCUGACGAUGGCCGGUAGAUCAGGUUGAAAACGUUUGUAAAACAAUAAACAUUGGUUCUCAGAUACAUAAGGUGUGUGUGUCAUAGUCUAACAAGAUCAUGUAAGAGCAAAAAAGUGCAGUUGAUCGAUCUUGGCCUGUGUACAUAUAAACGAAAACCGAACGAGUUUUGCGGAACUCUUCAUUACCUGUGUCCUGAAAUUCUUGAAGGAAAACCAUAUGAUUCCUACUGCGAUUGGUGGGCUUUUGGUUAACACGAUAUACCAGAUUUUAAUCGGAAAAACACCGAUGGCGAGUUAUUUAGAAACAAUUAUGGAACAUUAUGAAUAUGAUUGUGAAUAUUUCAAAAGAUUGACCGUUGCAGAAAGAAUCAGAUUUGCUCAAGGCAUCCAGGUGCACUAUCCUAAAUAUUUAUCGAUUGAUGCAAAGAAGUUUAUUCAAGAUUUAUUACAGAAAGUGAAUUUAUAAUUUAUAAAAACCGUUUUUCCACAUGAUCUGUUUCAAAAUUAUUUUUUACUGCAUUUUUAAACUAUUAAAUGGUUUAUUUAAACUUAUUUGAAUGUUUGAGCUGUUUUCUGUUUUCAAUUUCUAAAUUUAAUAUACUUUAAAACCUGCGCGAACGCUACUGAACAUAUUUACCUGCUUAACGGGUUUGCGUUUUGAGCUGGUUUUAUUUAUAACAUCGAAAAUCUGUCCGUUUUGAAGAAUGAUUGUUUUCAGGUGGUGAAUAUGUUUUUCGUGAAACUUGUUUUCUUUAUGAAAAUUAUAUGGAUUAUUUUAAUUUUGAGGUAAGUUGAUUUAAUUAUAAUCUAUAACAUAAUAAAAAUACAGUUGAUUUUAUUGCUCUUUGGUAAUUAUCUUAAGUAAGUUAAAUACAAAGUUAAAAUAAAUUAGUAACGAUAAUUUGAAUUCACAUUUUAUUCAAAUACUCUUCCAAAUCCAGCAAAUAUCUUCAAAAAUAUUCUAAACAUUACAUCAUAGAUGGCUCCAUUUUAAUAUAGGCUGCUCGCAAUUUACAUAAGAACUAAAAUAUUUUCUGACAAUUUAUUGUAGAUCAGUCUACUCAAUGAGGUGUUGGUCUUUAUGAAUGUAUAAUAUCGAUAUGUCAAUAUGUAACGUAACGACCAGAAAGAAAUUUCACCUUUAUUAUCACAUUUUGGUAUUGUGUUAUUAAUACUCAUUAUCUAAAACAUGAUAUUGUGUAGAUUUGUACAAAACAAACCACAAUGUUUCAAGUUUAAAAAUAAAUAUAGGCCUAUACAUAUUUAAUACAAUUUGCCCUUAAUUACACAAGAUAAGUUCCAUAAACUUGUCACUACAAAUAAUUAAUAAUAAUAAAGAACAUUUGCAAAUCAGACUUUAAAUACACAGGAUAAAUAAAAAGUUUUUAAAUUUGACGUGAUGUUUAUGCUAGUGUAUUUCGUUUCGUACGAUACCAAAAAAACAACAACAACAAAAAAUACAAAUGAGUCGUAAUAUAUAAGAAUUCUAUCAAGUGUUUCUGUAGUAAUAAAUAAUUAUUGUAAAUAAAUUGCAUAGAUGCAUUUAAUUUUACACAUUCAAAUAGUUCAUAAAUUACUGCUGUUGAAUAUUAUUGUGUUUUAGUAUUUCGUAAGGCAAAUAAUCAGUAUUUAUUAUAAAGGAAAUAACACUUAAGAAUUGUUAUUAUUACAAAUAAGAGAUAAAUGUGACAUUUGAAAUUUGUUAUUAUUAAUCAAUUUUAUGUUUAAUUCUUUAGCAUGGCAGGCAGAGGCCUCAAUAUGGGCCAACUGCCCAAUGGUCCGAAUUUGGACCAUUUAUACAAGUCGAUGAAUAUGGAAGGAUAGUGGAGAUGCCUGGAUAUGGGUCUCCGGAAGUAUUUUAUGAUUACCGUCCACCCUUUCAACAAGGCGCUUGGUACGUUCCAACUGAAGUACCUGAUUAUGCGCCGCCUACUCAAACAUCCGAGUAUGAUAUGGCGCCAGAAGUUACUCAAUAUUGGUAAGCGCCCGAGUACUAUCAAUAUGGUUCGUCGAUAGAGGAAGAGAGGAGCGAACCUCCAUCAAAUAUUUUAGAAAAUCAAUCAACAGAAGUGCUCGAAAAUGAGCAAUGCUUCUCACAUCUUUAUUAUCAGCACA
rnacentral:lncRNA from 1 species